UACGUAGGGUGCAAGCGUUGUCCGGAAUUAUUGGGCGUAAAGAGCUCGUAGGCGGUUUGUCGCGUCUGCUGUGAAAACCCGAGGCUCAACCUCGGGCCUGCAGUGGGUACGGGCAAACUAGAGUGCGGUAGGGGAGAAUGGAAUUCCUGGUGUAGCGGUGGAAUGCGCAGAUAUCAGGAGGAACACCGGUGGCGAAGGCGGGUCUCUGGGCCAUUACUGACGCUGAGGAGCGAAAGCGUGGGGAGCGAACAGG
rnacentral:rRNA from 1 species